rnacentral:rRNA from 1 species
UGGGGAAUAUUGGACAAUGGGCGAAAGCCUGAUCCAGCAAUGCCGCGUGAGUGAUGAAGGCCUUAGGGUUGUAAAGCUCUUUUACUAGGGAUGAUAAUGACAGUACCUAGAGAAUAAGCUCCGGCUAACUCCGUGCCAGCAGCCGCGGUAAUACGGAGGGAGCUAGCGUUGUUCGGAAUUACUGGGCGUAAAGCGCGCGUAGGCGGCUAUCCAAGUCAGGGGUGAAAUCCCGGGGCUCAACCCCGGAACUGCCCUUGAAACUAGGUAGCUAGAAUAUUGGAGAGGUAAGUGGAAUUCCGAGUGUAGAGGUGAAAUUCGUAGAUAUUCGGAAGAACACCAGUGGCGAAGGCGACUUACUGGACAAUUAUUGACGCUGAGGUGCGAAAGCGUGGGGAGCAAACAGGAUUAGAUACCCCCGUAGUCC